GGAGUUUGGCAGAGGGGGGUGGAAUUCCACGUGUAGCAGUGAAAUGCGUAGAGAUGUGGAGGAACACCAAUGGCGAAGGCAGCCCCCUGGGUCGAUACUGACGCUCAUGCACGAAAGCGUGGGUAGCAAACAGGAUUAGAUACCCUGGUAGUCCACGCCCUAAACGAUGUCAACUAGGUGUUGGGAGGGUAAAACCUUUUAGUGCCGUAGCUAACG
rnacentral:rRNA from 1 species